UCAAUCAUGUUUCAUGAAAUCAACUGAAUGGGCCUAAACAAGCAUUUUUUUAAAAUGGAAAGAUAGAAGAGGAGAGACGAAAAAAAGAAAUAUCUGUGUUUAUCCCACACAGCAGCCUCCACCACGUGCUGAGUGCAGCUCGUCUCCCUGGUUCCCCUCGUUUGACAGCUUCUCCAGACCGACACAACCUCGCCUGCCACUGGAGGGCAGCGAGAGGCUUCAUUCCGGAUGAGUAAGCCGAAGCCUCGAGAAGCAGAGUAACUUGCUCCUGUCUCAGCAGCGGGCAAGUGCUCCUGAUUCCAUGCCCUUACCGCUUAGCUUAUCCUGCCUCCAAGGGCUGCUGAGAGGGAUUCCAAGAGAGGUGGCAGAGAAAAAGCGUUGGGAGGGGGCAAAGAGCCAGUAUUCACGGGGCCCCUUCUGCGUGCCAGGCCCGCGCCCCUCCCGCGGGACAUAGGCCUUGGGACAUUCUCGCGCCCUCGUGGAACUGGCGGGGACGCCGCGGCCCGGAGCGGGCUGCGACCCAGGACCCGGCGCCGCCACGGCCGGGCUCCAUCCGCUCGGCGGCUGCCCGACCUCCGUAAAUAGUCUGGAUGAGUCGGCAGACGCGCUCCGCGCGAACGGCCGUUUCCGCCGGCCCCGGGAGGGCUCCGCGAGUACAGCUCUGUGCGCAGCGCCCCCUCUGGCCCGCGGGGCCCGCCGCUCCCCAAGGAGGGCGCUCAGCUCCGGAGCGCUGGAACGCACGCUGUACCCCCGCGAAGCGGUGUGUUCAGCAAAUGGAGGACCUGUUUUCAUGCAAAUGCCUUUGUUCGCGCACCGGGUACCGAGAGGAUGGGCCGACAGCUGACGCGGGAUAUGCGCCGCUUUGCCGUGGCCGUCUCUUUCGGGCUUUGACAGAUAAACAUGUCGAGAACAAAAACGCCGGCGCCACGGAAACCCGCGCUCGGAGCGCGCCUGUCCCCACCUGAGGCGCGGCAGGCCUUGGCCCCAGGGCCUUCAGCAUCCCUGCCUUAGUUUCCCCAGCUGCACAUAGAGAUGGUGUGCUUAAGGGCUCAGCCCAGAACCAGCUCCUUGCUGGAAACCGUUUAUCCAGGCACUGUGGGAGGCGGCGGGGAGCAGGAGGCUGCUGGGGGGAGUUUGCGUUUCAGAGAGAGAAGACAAUAAACUAAAGCACAGACAGACAAGAUAAUUUCGAAUAAACAGCAAGCGUUAAUCUAAUAGCAAGCACAAAUGUACUGCUUGUGCCAGGCCCUGUUCUGAAUGCUGUAAUAUGUGUGUUAGCUCAUCUAAUCUCACAACAGGGGGUGAUAUUCCACUGUGAGAUGGAAUAUCACCCCCAUUCACAGAUGGGAAAAUGGAGGUUGAAUCAUGUAUUCAAGGGAAAUGAGAAGUUGAAUAAUAUGUUCAUCGGAAGUUGGUGGAAUAAUUUCCUCAAGUGCCCAGUAGUUGGUGGAGACCAGAUUUGGACUCAGACCACUGGGCUCCAAGUUGUGGCUUCUUAAUCCCUCCAUUCUACCACUCCGGCUGUGCAAAGAAGGACAAAAAAUGGUAACAUUAUAAAAAGAGCUCAGAGGCUAAAGGAGAGCUAUUCCCAAAAGGGUGUCAGCAAAUGUCUGUCUGUGCCGGAGCCGUCUCAGGCCGUCUGAUGAUGCGAGAAUCCAGCUAUGCAAAGAUCUAGUGCUCCAGGCAGAGGAAACAGCAAGAGCAUAGGCCUUGCAGUGGGAGGGAUGGACUUGGG